rnacentral:rRNA from 1 species
GUCCACGCCGUAAACGAUGAUUACUAGGUGUUGGUGGGUACGACCCAUCGGUGCCGCAGCAAACGCAAUAAGUAAUCCACCUGGGGAGUACGUUCGCAAGAAUGAAACUCAAAGGAAUUGACGGGGGCCCGCACAAGCGGUGGAGCAUGUGGUUUAAUUCGAUGCAACGCGAAGAACCUUACCUGGCCUUGACAUACUAGAAACUUUCCAGAGAUGGAUUGGUGCCUUCGGGAAUCUAGAUACAGGUGCUGCAUGGCUGUCGU